UGCCUAAAAGAAUUAUCAGUUGGUUGUUGGCGUAAAGGAGGGUGCACAAAGGUGGGGGAGCAACUUAUCUCCCAGAGUCCUAGCCCCCUUGGACUCCUAACAAACUCUAGGUGUUGGUUUAAAAAGGGGAUAAGCAGGCACUUCAUAUGAGAUCUCAUGAUGAAUCAUGAGAGGGUGUGGCGUGAAAAAUAAAAGGGAGAGUGAGGGCACGCACAUGGAGUUGUUACCGCACAAAAGAAGGAAAAAAAAGAGGGCACUCCAAUCACCCUUCCUCUUUCUUCCUCUCUUCCUACGUCCAUGAGAUGGAUGGAUUGGCUCUCUCUCUC
rnacentral:lncRNA from 1 species